rnacentral:rRNA from 1 species
GACGUAGGGGGCGAGCGUUAUUCGGAAUUAUUGGGCGUAAAGAGCUCGUAGGCGGUUUGUCGCGUCUGCUGUGAAAACUGGAGGCUCAACCUCCAGCCUGCAGUGGGUACGGGCAAACUAGAGUGCGGUAGGGGAGAUUGGAAUUCCUGGUGUAGCGGUGGAAUGCGCAGAUAUCAGGAGGAACACCGAUGGCGAAGGCAGAUCUCUGGGCCGUAACUGACGCUGAGGAGCGAAAGCAUGGGGAGCGAACAGG